rnacentral:misc_RNA from 1 species
GACAAAUGCAUCCACGAUUUUACUCCGUAAUUAUAAAAACUUCCUCGUUUUGCUUUUUUGCGGCGAACAACAACAUCGUUAGUCAUAUACACGGCCUAGGAAAUUGUCGUAGGAUGUGAUAACGAUGUGAGCUUCAACUACCACCAAAAGAUAAGGCUGCCAAAUUUGGGUGGGUGCUUGUAGUUCUACAGUUCACGAAGAGCGCUAAAGGGAUGAGCCUGAUACCACGAAGGGUCUGCUCAAGCAUUCCUCAAGUUUUUGGA